CCGAGCCGCGCGUUUGGCUCUCACCCGCCCAAUUGUUGCCGCCUCAGCCCCCUCCCCCUUCCGGGUACCUGGAAACCUCGGGCCCGGGAGCCAAUUCCUGCCGGGGACGCGGGCCCGGGCGGCCGCGGGAAGCCAAGGAUACUACAUUUAGUGCUCAUGUCUCCCUAAGCUCCUUGUGGCUGUGACAAUUUUUCAUACUUUCCUCGUUUUUGCUGUCCUCCAUGGUUUUGAGGAAUACUGGUACCAUCAUCUCGGUGGAGCAUCUGUUCUCAAAAGUGUAGGCACAGAGGGAAUGACAUCCUGAUUUUUCUCUGCACGGGCGACAGAAGGACCUUGGCUUCACAUCCUGGCAAUUCUCAGCACUAUUUGAAGCCUCAGAGUCCUCUGCUUCCAUUGGCAGAAAAGGGAAGAGCCAGUGGAGAAGCCAUAUCGGAUUCAUAAAACCCUGGCUCAGAGUGCUGUGUCUCCAGGACCUGGAAUUGGGCUGCCAUGUGCUAGGCACUUGAGGACCAAAUACUAACCAGUGAAGUGGUUGAGCCGUAUCGGUCCACUGAGCCACAAGCAAUGCAUCAAAGAAAGAAUUUAAGAUGGAUUUUUCAUAACCCUCUGAUGGAAUGAUAACAUCAUGCACCCAGUCUCAUCCAGAAAUGUUGAAGACACAUGAGGAGGACACCAAAGAACUCACUUCUCACAUUAUUGUUAGAAGAAACUCCAAGAGAGGUCUAAAGAGGAGAGAAAGAGAAGGAGGUGGAGAUGAGCAGCCUUACAGCAACUGUGAAUCUGCCAACAGCCUGGAGGUGGGAGAACAGGCUCUGUCCUUUAGGACCUCUGUACAGAUCAACAGAGAAGAUCUCCUGGAGGAAGAGCAUUGACUUAAGUCAUGGAACCACCUAUCUCUUUCUACUUAAAGGCAUAUUGCAUCUCUUUCUUCCUUUUGGCUAAGGGACAAGAGGAAAUAGAAAGAAAAGAAAGGUUCUCUCACAAGGCUGCUAUCAAGAUUUUUGGCCAGGGAUGGGGUCUAAUCUGAAGCUAGAUUGAAGAAGGAUCCUCUUCCAAAUUUACAUGAUUGUUGGUUGCCAGGAUUAAGUUCCUUGUGGGCUGUUGGACUGAAGGUUCCAAUUCCUAGUUGACUAGUUGCUGGAGGCUGCCCUUGGUUCCUUGCUAUGUGGGCCUCUCCAUUUGGAAGCCUGCUUCAUCAAAGCUAACAAGGGAUAGAGUCUCCUAGCAAGAUGGAAGUUACAAUCUUGGGUAAUAAAAUCAUAGACAUGACAGAGCAUCCCCUUUGUUGAAUACUGCUGGUUGGAAGCAAGUCACAUUUUCCACUCAUACCAAAGGGAGGGAAUUAUACAAAGUUAUGAAUAUAGGAGAUAGGGCUAAUUUGGAGCCAUCUUAGUGUCUGUCCAUCAUAGAAACAUUAGAUGCAAUUACCAGAGGUUGGGGUAAGUCCUCUAUUCCUAAUCAUAGUCUCUGUAACAGAAAGCCUUUAAUAUAAAGGUGGGAGUGGGAAUCGAAUCCAGGAUGACAGACAUUCUGAACUGAUAGAUGAAACAUAGUAGUGGAAAAUGUACAACUCACUUGAAUUCUAGGUGAUCUGGCAGAUAGGUAGCCAGAGAGCCAUUCAUUUCAGGGAAAUGUUUCAGUAACACCUGAAAGAAGAUAAGGUCUAGAUGUUGGUUCUGGGAGACACUGACAGGAGUAAGCCAGAGUGGAGCCAGUAGUUUACUAAAGUAGAAACUUAUAUCUGGGGGGAAAAAGCAAAGUCCCAUUUGCCAGAAUUAUAGAGUAAAGAACUUUAAAAAUCUAAGUUCUUACCUAGGCUCAGAUUUCUGUGUGGUCAGGGAGAUUGUAUCUAUGGAUUUAUCAAUAAGUAUGUUAGAUUUUGAUUGUUCAAGGUGAGAGAGUGGGGAGCUUGCUCCUUUUUGGGAAGAAAAGCACCGAUGGGCUCUCUGCUUAUUGCUACUGGCUGAGGCCACCCUGCCAUGGCUACCUAGGAAACCCGUGCAGUACAUGGGUGUAAGGAAGCUUGGUGGUCAGAAAUAGGAGUAACUGGCAGCUGCACUGUUGAACUACAGGUAGAGGCAACAAGUAGCCAGAAAGUGGAUUCCCAAUUCUAUAUCUACUCAACUCCCAUCAUUUCUGCUAUUCCUGCUGGACCGCCAGCUGAAAGUGGCUCAUUUGCAUACCAUUUUUAAACAUCUAAA